rnacentral:rRNA from 1 species
GACGAACGCUGGCGGCGUGCUUAACACAUGCAAGUCGAACGGAAAGGCCCUGCUUUUGUGGGGGGCUCGAGUGGGGAACGGGGGAGGAACACGUGAGUAAACUGCCCCUGACUUUGGGAUAACUUCAGGAAACUGGGGCUAAUACCGGAUAGGAGCUCCUGCUGCAUGGUGGGGGGUGGAAAGUUUCGGCGGUUGGGGAUGGACUCGCGGCUUAUCAGCUUGUUGGUGGGGUAGUGGCUUACCAAGGCUUUGACGGGUAGCCGGCCUGAGAGGGUGACCGGCCACAUUGGGACUGAGAUACGGCCCAGACUCCUACGGGAGGCAGCAGUGGGGAAUAUUGCACAAUGGGCGGAAGCCUGAUGCAGCAACGCCGCGUGCGGGAUGACGGCCUUCGGGUUGUAAACCGCUUUCGCCUGUGACGAAGCGUGAGUGACGGUAAUGGGUAAAGAAGCACCGGCUAACUACGUG